GCCCAUUCAGGUGUUUGCUCCUCAGCUGAGGGUGUGGGUCCCCGUGGAGGAGGCUGAGCCGCCCCGGCGUAUGGGGAGAAAAAGGGACCCAGAUCCAAGUCACCUCUCUCCCGCUUGCGGACUUCCUUCCCUGGCGGCCUCCUAGCUCUUCAUGCCACUGGCCGAGCUCGUAUCAGGCGUCUGAAGGAGGCAGCUUCUGAGGAUCUAUAACCUGAUGGCUGCUGAACCAUCUGUUCCAGAUUCAAGGGCAGCCGUCCUCAGGAGACCCCGACACUUCACAUCCCUGCUGGGAUAUGAGGCCCGGCCCGAUGGACCGUCAGAGGAGGGUGUGGACGCUGAGACUCAAAAGCAGGAGCUGACAGAGAAGAACCAAGUAUGAUGGCGAGUGUGCUAGAAAGGUUCCUGGCGCAAGAGUGAGGAGAUCAGGGUCCCAUCAUCGGGACAUUGUAGAAAACAUCUGGACCUAGUGACAAACAGGCGACUUGUGACCUUGGUAAGAGCAUAUUCAUUGCCGUCAUGGGCACAGAAGUGAUACUGCAGCGAGAUAAAGAGUCUGUGAGAAUGAAGAAUGUUAGCAGAGACUGGAAAACUCUUUCUGGAACUUUGAUUUAAAGGAGAGGCAGCAGAUGGCUGAAAUCCUGGCGUGACGUGGCUGGAUCUUGCACGAUCUGAGGACCCCUGCACUGGUGACUGGGACGGGUCCAGAAUUUUCCUAUAAAUAUGUUAAGUGACAGGUCAGUCCUGAGCAUCAGAUAGGCCAAUGCCACCCCUCGCUGCCCUGGCGCCAUCUCUCACCGAGCUCAGCAGGUGAGGAACUGGAUCAGGGUCUGCGCAGAGGCACGAUGUGGGGCAGCUCCUAGGAGUUUCUGAAACAUCCAAGAAAGCAGAGGACCUUCUGUCUCCAAAAUUUGAACUGAAGGCCUAUCAGAGAGAGAUUUGCCCCCUUCCUCUAAUGUCUGUAGUCUCAUUAGGAGAAAUGAGAAAUGACUCCUCACAGUGCCUGCCUCAGCCCCGAGGCUCAGCCCGCCCCUGCUGCUGUGUCCCAACAUUUAAAGGGCCAGAGAAGUCCCACCACAUGCCAUGUACUCUGGGCGGGGUUUCUCAUUUAUGCUCAGAACAGCUCUGUGACUGAGGUAUGAGGUGUCCUAAGUCCCAUUUCAGAGAUGACCAAGCUCUGGCUCAGAGACCUUAUGUCCCCUCUCCAGGUACGUGUCAGGAUGGAAAUGAGGCUCCAUCCCUCGCCCUCCCCAGAGGACACAGAGCAGCCUCGCUUUUAGAAAUGGGCUUCCAGGGCUGGAGAAACGGUCCAUGACACUCCCCUGAUAAUAUGGCCCCGGGAGUAGUCACUCAACAAGCCCUCUGGGUCGUGAAGAUGACAGAGGAGAUGAAAUCCCACUUUUUGUGGCAUGUGACCGAGUGUCGGGCCUUAUCCGUUGCCUGAUCCCUGCAGGGGGGAGUGGGGCUCGGGCAGGAGCUCAGAUGGGACAAGUCAUCUAGAGGGAAGGAAAGUGAUAUGAGCAGAGCUGCUUUAAGCAAAUGCUUUUUCUGUUGCAUCUCCUUUAAUCCUAACAGCUAUUCAUGAUAUACAUUAUUCAAAUUAGGGUACUGAUGUUAAGAGAUUUAAAUAAGUCGGGGAAACUAUUUUCUCAGGAUCAACAGCUAACUGCAGAAUUAUUCUAAAGUUUUUCGCUUUUUGUCUUGAAUCCUCUGGAGCUGCCUUACGUGCUCUUCGGGUGUUUUUCAUUCUAUUUUAGAAUUGUGAACUGUAUCAUUUUUAAGUCACAAUAUUUUUGAAUCUUAAAAUACAUUCUAAAUGGAGAACAUACUAGGAAUUGUGUGGAAACAAAGGAGAAAUCAUUUGCCAACUACAGCUCAGCCACUGGGUUAGUAUCCAUGGUUUGUGAUACACACUUAGUAACAAACAAAGAGAUUGGCUCAUAAUUUAAACAGCAAAUUCAUGUAAAAUUAUGUGAACAAUAAACAUGUCAGAAUAUGCCAAAACCACAAGCAUUAAUAAGAUGCAAAUAUAAAUCCUGGGAAUUCAUAUUGAGUGGAAAAGACAAUAGUAAGAAAUGAGUACUGUGAUUCUUCUUUUGGAAGAGACCCUGUGUGUGUGCGGGUGUCUGUGUUCGUGCACCCCUCCCCAGCAGGGACGCAUCUGGAGAGGAGGCCCCACUCUAUGACAACAGGCCCCUUAGGGUCGGGGGGGAGUCAGGCCCAUGAGAGAUGCAGGUAACUUCAUUGUAUAAAUGUACUUUUACAUAUUGUUUGAAAUAUUGCCUUCAGGAAAAAAGUAUUUUGAUGAAAAUUUGAAAGCAGAAUAUACUUGUAAACAGAUUCAGCAAAAUUAAUGUACACAUGUAUUCAUUACUUUGGAAAAGCAUUCAUUUUAUUCAAUUACAUGGAAAAAUUAAGUAGGAAAAAAAUAGAAUUGGAAGUGUUUCUGCCGGUAUCUGUGUGUGUUUCUGUGUCUCCUUUAGCUCUGUCACCUCAAGUACUUACACUCAAGGGGCAGCUUUAUCUUUAGUUCAAGCCAAGGCUAGACUUCCAAUCUCAUGUUUAAAUAUCCCAGAAAAUGAUGGAUACAGCUGGAUGGCUGCCAGUAGGUUACACAGUUUCAUGAAACGCUGGCUGAAACCAUUAGACCAAUGUGUGACCCUCCAUCCCUCCCGCCCUCUGGCUGAGUCACCAUGUCUGAGACUCUCAGCUGACAUCCUGGCUCUGGCCACCUGAUAACGGCUAUCUCUGUUUUUCUCUUUUAAGGAAAAGGAGUGCAUUUAGCAAAGGGGGAUGAAUGUCAUCAAUUUGUUUACUAAGAUACCAAUUCUGUUUGGAAAAUGAACAUGUAUAUUAAAGCAGUUCUGUCUA